AUUCGGUUGACGAGUCCCAAAUAGGACGAAACGCGCGUUCUGGAU
rnacentral:hammerhead_ribozyme from 1 species